rnacentral:lncRNA from 1 species
GUACGUUACCCUGCAGUUUGGUCACUGGUAGGUGGGCCUCAUGCCUGACAACCCCACAUGUCAGUGACUUUAUGUCAGGGGAGGCUACGUCAGAGGAUCUCCUUCCGAUUCUAGGCCUAUCUGACAAGCUACUGCGCAUUUUUUUCUUCUUGUUUUUCUUUUUCCUUCCUUUAUCCAAAGAAGGACCCACAGUGACUUGUAAUCAAACUCACUUUUUCAGUGUUUGUUGCAUUAUUAUUUCGGUGUUUUUGCAUUAUUAUUUUCAGUGUUUCUUGCAUUAUUAUUUUCAGUGUUUUUGCAUUAUUAUUUUUAGUGUUUUUGCACUAUCAACGAUUCUUGUGGGUCAUUUCAGUACGAGAUUUAAUGUAACUAAAGAAAAUUCGAAUGGAUCUUGAAAAUACAUACAUACAUACAUACAUACAUACAUACAUACAUACAUACAUACAUACAUACAUACAUACAUACAUACAUACAUACAUAUAUCUCCAGCAUUACAUAUAGAAAUAUAUAAAAAAGGAAAAAUACAUAUGGAAUUUUAUUCCACGCUCCUGGUGAUCUUCUCCAAAGCCUUGGUACAUGUCUUCAGUGUACCGAUCAACGAUCGGAGCACUUCCAAGGAGACUUGUACCGUCGGCGGCAGUGGCGGAGGCGGCGAGGGUGGUUGUGGCGUUGGCGACAGUGGUGGCAGCGACGCACGGCGCGAUGGCGGGGCCGUAGGAGCUGGUGGAGGCGCUGGCGGUGGAGGAGGCGCUGGCGGUGG